rnacentral:rRNA from 1 species
UAGUUUGAUCCUGGCUCAGGACGAACGCUGGCGGCGUGCCUAACACAUGCAAGUCGAACGGGGUUAUGAGAGAAGCUUGCUUUAAUUAUAACCUAGUGGCGGACGGGUGAGUAACGCGUGAGGACCUAUCUUUUGCAGGGGGACAACAUUUGGAAACGGAUGCUAAUACCGCGUAAGCCUAAUUGGUGAAAGGAGCAAUCCGGCGGAAGAGGGGCUCGCGUUCUAUCAGCUAGUAGGUGGGGUAAAGGCCUACCUAGGCGAAGACGGAUAGCCGGACUGAGAGGUCGACCGGCCACACUGGAACUGAGAUACGGUCCAGACUCCUACGGGAGGCAGCAGUGGGGAAUAUUGGGCAAUGGGGGCAACCCUGACCCAGCGACGCCGCGUGGGUGAAGAAAUCCUUCGGGAUGUAAAGCCCUGUUGUAUGGGAAGAAGUACUGACGGUACCAUACGAGGAAGCCCCGGCAAACUACGUGCCAGCAGCCGCGGUAAUACGUAGGGGGCGAGCGUUGUUCGGAAUUACUGGGCGUAAAGCGCACGCAGGCGGCCUGCUAAGUCUAUUGUGAAAGGCUGAGGCUCAACUUCAGUAAUGUGAUAGAUACUGGUAAGCUAGAGAGUGUGAGAGGGAAGUGGAAUUCCCGGUGUAGCGG